rnacentral:rRNA from 1 species
UACAGAGGGUGCAAGCGUUAAUCGGAAUUCCUUGGCGUAAAGCGUGCGUAGACGGUUGCGUAAGUCAGAUGUGAAAGCCCCGGGCUCAACCUGGGAAUUGCAUUUGAGACUGCGUAGCUAGGGUGCGGAAGAGGGAAGCGGAAUUUCCGGUGUAGCGGUGAAAUGCGUAGAGAUCGGGAGGAACACCAGAGGCGAAGGCGGCGAACUGGACAGGCACUGACACUCAACUACGAAAGCGUGGGGAGCAAACAGG